GUGGGGAAUAUUGCACAAUGGAGGGAACUCUGAUGCAGCGACGCCGCGUGAGCGAUGAAGGAAUUCGUUUCGUAAAGCUCUGUUCUAUGGGAAGAAAAGGACUGUACCAUAGGAGAAAGCCCCGGCUAAAUACGUGCCAGCAGCCGCGGUAAUACGUAUGGGGCGAGCGUUGUCCGGAAUUAUUGGGCGUAAAGGGUACGCAGGCGGUUUGCCAAGUUGGAUGUGAAAUCUUGUAGCUCAACUACAAACGUGCAUCCAAAACUGGCUAACUUGAGUUAAGGAGAGGUAAGUGGAAUUCCUGGUGUAGCGGUGGAAUGCGUAGAUAUCAGGAGGAAUACCGGUGGCGAAGGCGACUUACUGGACUUAUACUGACGCUGAGGUACGAAAGCGUGGGGAGCAAACAGG
rnacentral:rRNA from 1 species